UGCUCGCCGAGUGCUUUGUACGGCUCCGGGAGCUCCGAGCCGACUCCAGAAAGCCUGAAAGGCCAUCAUGGCAGCGAAGCCCAAACUCCACGAUCCUAACGGAAGAGGCCGGAUGGAAUCCGUAAGAUGGGUUUUAGCUGCCGCUGGAGUCGAGUUUGAUGAAGAAUUCUUAGAAACAAAAGAACAGUUGCAGAAGUUGCAGGAUGGAAAUCACCUGCUGUUCCAACAAGUGCCAAUGGUCGAAAUUGAUGGAAUGAAGUUGGUGCAGACCUGAAGCAUCCUCCACUACAUAGCGGAUAAGCAUCACCUCUUUGGCAAGGACCUCAAGGAGAGAACCCUGAUUGACAUGUACGUGGAGGGGACGCUAGAUCUGCUGGAACUGAUUAUCAUGCAUCCUUUUCUAAAACCAGAUGAUCAACAAAAGGAAGUGGUUAACAUGGCCCAGAAGGCUAUAAUUAGAUACUUUCCUGUGUUUGAAAAGGUUUUAAGGGAUCAUGGGCAAAGGUUUCUCGUUGGUAACCAGCUGAGCCUUGCGGACGUGAUUCUACUCCAAACCAUUUUGGCUCUAGAAGAGAAAAUCCCCAAUAUCCUGUCUGCAUUUCCUCAUCUCCAGGAGUUCACAGUGAAAAUAAGUAAUAUCCCAACAAUUAAGAAAUUCCUGGAACCUGGCAGCAAGAAGAAGCCUCCUCCAGAUGACAUCUACGUGAGAACCGUCUACAACAUCUUUAUGCCAUAAAACAUCACAUACAUCUGUGAGUGAGAGUUAGCCUCUAGAGAUUGCUGUGUCCAUAAUAACGUCUUAAUUGAUGUCCCAGCUCUGUCAUGGUGCUAUGUAGAACUGUUCCUUAGAUGGGUCUUUCAUGCCAAGAUCUUUUCUAGAAACAUUCAUUGACCUUUUGGUUUGUCCGGUGAAUAAUUGUUAACGCACCUUUUUCCUGAAAGCCCUUUCAGAGAGACUGGCAUUUCAGUUAGAUCU